rnacentral:rRNA from 1 species
AGCACGGGAGUAGCAAUACAACUGGUGGCGACCGGCGCGACGGGUGAGUAACGCGUAUGCAACCUACCUAUCAGAGGGGAAGUAACCCGGCGAAAGUCGGACUAAUACCGCAUAAAACAGGGGCACCGCAUGGUGAUAUUUGUUAAAGAAAUUCGCUGAUAGAUGGGCAUGCGUUCCAUUAGGUAGUUGGUGAGGUAACGGCUCACCAAGCCGACGAUGGAUAGGGGAACUGAGAGGUUGGCCCCCCACACUGGUACUGAGACACGGACCAGACUCCUACGGGAGGCAGCAGUGAGGAAUAUUGGUCAAUGGGCGAGAGCCUGAACCAGCCAAGUCCGCGUGAAGGAAGAAGGAUCUAUGGUUCGUAAACUUCUUUUGCAGGGGAAUAAAGUGCGGGACGUGUCCUGUUUUGUAUGUACCCUGAGAAUAAGGAUCGGCUAACUCCGUGCCAGCCGCCGC